GGUGGCCUAAGUGGUUAGAGCGUCCGCCUCCAAUGCGGGAGGUUACCGGUUCGAACCCGGACGAGUACCA